rnacentral:lncRNA from 1 species
GUUGCACAUCAUCUUCCUCAACUAUGAGGCGGCCUUGCUUUUUACCAACCUAGAUAACCUGGAAUUAAUCAAUGAAAGCAUCAGUCAAUUGAAGCUUGAUAAUAACAUAAUGCAUGACUACUUUGAAGCAAAGGUUAAGUAACUACAGAUUAGAACAUAUUAAGCUUGACCUAUACUUUUUAAUUAAUAAUCACUUUACCGGCCUCCAUGACAUAUACUGACAUGGUAUAAUGACAAAAUAACAUACUUUUUUUCUUUCUAAAUUGCAUAAUUGAAAAGAAGCAUGAACUACAAGCAAAAAAAAGAACCAAGCAUUACAUAUUAGGCAGAGCAUGUGACAUUCAUUGGCAAGCAUGCUAGUACCUUUGGACCGCCUAUAGGUAUACUCCUGUGGGCGCUGGCUGGUGGCCGACAUUAUCAUGAGAUCAUAACAUUCUUCUCUUUUGUUUCUCAUUUUCGUUUUCAUUUUAUUUCUCUUCCCUGCUCAAUUAGCAUGCUCUCAAAC